rnacentral:lncRNA from 1 species
AAUUCAAAAUCAAAAUAAAUGGAUUAUUAAAAUCAAUCAAAUGGAUUUGCAAUAAAUUCAGCUUUAUAAUAAAACCAAGUAUAUAAAAAGUAAAACACAUUCAUAUUUCAUACGUUUAUAAAAGCUCUCCACAUAUCUGUUGUUAUUGUGGCUCUCACUUGAUUGGCAUGUUCUCUUUGCUGAUCCUGAGUUACAAGAAUUUCUUCAUCAUUGUUAUUAACUUCUUCGACAUCUUCUACAUCCUUAGACUCUUUUUCUUCAGUAAAAUUAUUUGUUCUAUAAAACUUUCGAAGAAAAUUAUUUACACAGACUUUACAUUCAAUUAAAAAGUAAAAAAAAUAUGUGCGUGCUUAGUGCAUCGUGCUUAGUGCAUCGUAAUAUUAGUUACAUGUGCUUAGUGCAUCUAAUAUGUUUGUAUGCAAGACACAUGUGCUUGUCAUGUUUCAAUAGAAGUUGGUGUUAUAAUAGAAUAUUGCAUGAUGAAAGUGCCAUGGCUUAUUUGAAAUUUUUGUUGUAUACGUGAGAUAUUAAACAUUUUUUGUUAGAGAAAAAUU